rnacentral:rRNA from 1 species
GCUGACGAGUGGCGGACGGGUGAGUAAUGUCUGGGAAACUGCCUGAUGGAGGGGGAUAACUACUGGAAACGGUAGCUAAUACCGCAUAACGUCGCAAGACCAAAGAGGGGGACCUUCGGGCCUCUUGCCAUCGGAUGUGCCCAGAUGGGAUUAGCUAGUAGGUGGGGUAACGGCUCACCUAGGCGACGAUCCCUAGCUGGUCUGAGAGGAUGACCAGCCACACUGGAACUGAGACACGGUCCAGACUCCUACGGGAGGCAGCAGUGGGGAAUAUUGCACAAUGGGCGCAAG